rnacentral:rRNA from 1 species
CCUACGGGUGGCAGCAGUGAGGAAUAUUGGUCAAUGGGCGCGAGCCUGAACCAGCCAAGUCGCGUGAAGGAUGACUGCCCUACGGGUUGUAAACUUCUUUUAUAAAGGAAUAAAGUGAGGCACGUGUGCCUUUUUGUAUGUACUUUAUGAAUAAGGAUUGGCUAACUCCGUGCCAGCAGCCGCGGGAAUACGGAGGAUCCGAGCGUUAUCCGGAUUUAUUUGGUUUAAAGGGAGCGUAGAGGGGUUGUUAAGUCAGUUGUGAAAGUUUGCGGCUCAACCGUAAGAUUGCAAUUGAUACUGGCAGUCUUGAGUGCAGUUGAGGUAGGCGGAAUUCGUGGUGUAGCGGUGAAAUGCUUAGAUAUCACGAAGAACUCCGAUUGCGAAGGCAGCUUACUAAACUGCCACUGACAUUGAUGCACGAAAGUGUGGGUAUCAAACAGGAUUAGAUACCCUGGUAGUC